UACGGGGGGAGCAAGCGUUGUUCAGAUUUACUGGGCGUAAAGGGCGCGUAGGCGGCCAGCGCAAGUCAGUUGUGAAAUCUCCGGGCUUAACUCGGAACGGUCAACUGAUACUGCGCGGCUAGAGUGCGGAAGGGGCAACUGGAAUUCUCGGUGUAGCGGUGAAAUGCGUAGAUAUCGAGAGGAACACCUGCGGCGAAGGCGGCUACCUGGACAAUUGCUGACGCUCAGGCACGAAAGCGUGGGGAGCAAAAGGG
rnacentral:rRNA from 1 species